rnacentral:rRNA from 1 species
UCCUACGGGACGCAGCAGUAGGGAAUCUUCCACAAUGGGCGAAAGCCUGAUGGAGCAACGCCGCGUGAGUGAUGAAGGCCUUUGGGUUGUAAAACUCUGUCUUCUGUGACGAACAAGCCUGUGAGUGGAAUGCUCAGGCCCUGACGGUAACAGAGGAGGAAGCCACGGCUAACUACGUGCCAGCAGCCGCGGUAAUACGUAGGUGGCAAGCGUUGUCCGGAAUCACUGGGCGUAAAGCGCGCGCAGGCGGCGAUCUACGUCUGGGGUGAAAGCCCGGGGCUCAACCUCGGGACUGCCUUGGAUACGGGAUCGCUUGAGAAUCGGAGAGGCAAGGGGAAUUCCACGUGUAGCGGUGAAAUGCGUAGAGAUGUGGAGGAACACCUGUGGCGAAGGCGCCUUGCUGGCCGAUUUCUGACGCUGAGGCGCGAAAGCGUGGGGAGCAAACAGGAUUAGAUACCCUUGUAC